rnacentral:lncRNA from 1 species
GCCGGUAGCUGGGCAGCAAGUCCUUUCUCGAAGAGAGAACAGAGCAGAAAAUCUGUGCACCUGACACACUUAUUUUCAGUUUAACUGUUGCCUCCCGGGCUAGAAGUAACCCCAGUGAAGGGCCCCAACCCAACAGACCCAGGACAGAAUUUAAGUAUCGCUCUGGGGCUGACUUGCACCAUGACUCUCCUGUCAAAUGAGCCAGGAAUCCUUGCGCUACCCGAUUCCAGCAGGCAGUGUCCAGCCACUGGGACCCUUGGCAGACCGAAUGGGGAAAGCGGGAGUAGAGCUGGUGGAGGGAAGGAGGUCGGAGAAGAUAGAAGAGUUGGAGCAAGUGGCGAAUUUGGUACGGAGAGAGACUCCCGCAUCUGGCUGUAUGUCAAAAGGACCUGGAGAACUUUUACAACAUAGACCUGUAGAUCCAGGGAAGGGACCUGGCCCAUUUGAUAAUUGGAGCAGAGUAACACCCCCUUCAUUUUGUGACAAAAUUAUUUUAAGAGUAAUUAUGCAAUAAUCAGUAGUGACUAUAUAAGAUGUCAUGUUAUGAAUAAUAUAUGUAGGACAUAUGUUGUACAUAAUGUAGCUAUAAUAAAUAAUGUAUGUGAAA